GACGAACGCUGGCGGCGUGCCUAAUACAUGCAAGUCGAACGAGAGCGACCGGUGCUUGCACUGGUCAAUCUAGUGGCGAACGGGUGAGUAACACGUGGGUAACCUGCCCAUCAGAGGGGGAUAACAUCCGGAAACGGAUGCUAAAACCGCAUAGGUCUUCGAACCGCAUGGUUUGAAGAGGAAAAGAGGCGCAAGCUUCUGCUGAUGGAUGGACCCGCGGUGCAUUAGCUAGUUGGUGAGGUAACGGCUCACCAAGGCCGUGAUGCAUAGCCGACCUGAGAGGGUGAUCGGCCACAUUGGGACUGAGACACGGCCCAAACUCCUACGGGAGGCAGCAGUAGAGAAUCUUCCGCAAUGGACGCAAGUCUGACGGAGCAACGCCGCGUGAGUGAAGAAGGUUUUCGGAUCGUAAAACUCUGUUGUUAGAGAAGAACAAGUGCUAGAGUAACUGUUAGCGCCUUGACGGUAUCUAACCAGAAAGCCACGGCUAACUACGUG
rnacentral:rRNA from 1 species